rnacentral:lncRNA from 1 species
AAAAUAUCAAAAAUCCAAAAAAUGAUUUUAAUUCAAAAUAUGGAAGAGGAAAAUAUUUAAAGAUUUUUGGUGAAAGUCCCAUAUUUUUUGGAUUAAAAAUGAAAUUAAUAUGAAUUAAACAAAAUAAAGGUAUUAAAUGAAAAAUCAGAAAUAAAAAAGAAAAAAAGAAAAAAACAAGGGCCAUCAGAUCUCUUUCAUUAAUUGAG